rnacentral:rRNA from 1 species
ACCUCUGCAAUAGGCGAAAGCCUGACAGGGUUACUCUGAGUGACUUUCGCUAAGAAAGUCUUUUGACACCUCUAAAAAUGGUGUAGAAUAAGGGGUGGGCAAGUCUGGUGUCAGCCGCCGCGGUAAUACCAGCACCCCGAGUGGUCGGGACGAUUAUUGGGCCUAAAGCAUCCGUAGCCGGUUUUACAAGUCCCCCGUUAAAUCCAACUGCUUAACAGAUGGGCCGCGGAGGAUACUAUAAGACUAGGAGGCAGGAGAGGCAAGCGGUACUCAGUGGGUAGGGGUAAAAUCCGUUGAUCCAUUGAAGACCACCAGUGGCGAAGGCGGCUUGCCAGAAUGCGCUCGACGGUGAGGGAUGAAAGCUGGGGGAGCAAACCGGAUUAGAUACCCGGGUAGUCCCAGCUGUAAACGAUGCAGACUCGGUGAUGGACUAGCUUAAUGCUAGUCCAGUGCCGCAGGGAAGCCGUUAAGUCUGCCGCCUGGGUAGUACGGUCGCAAGACUGAAACUUAA